GUCAGGCGAGGCAGCCACCCAUGAUGAGCUCUGCAGCCUUCCCGAGGUGGCCGCCUCGCAUCCAGGUGCCCCGUGUGCCCGGCCUGGGUGGCUCUGACUGCUCCUGCAUGGUGGAUACCAGCGUUCCCACUGUUGGCAGCUGUGCCACCUCCCUGUGCCAGGCUGUGUGUGCUCACGCUCAGCCCAGUCUGCCUUUGUGCGGUCAGACUGAGAGACCCCCAGGCAGGUCCCGCCUGCAACAAGCAGACCCCAUGUGUGCCCCAAAUGCCCCCUCACCCGGGCCCUGCCCUGGUGGAUGUUUCCUGGGAGCAAACUCCCAGAAUGGCUGCCGGGCCCCACUCGGCUUUGGAGCUUCUGAUUCCUAUGGGUGCUUCUCAGGUGCUCCUCAGGUCAGGGCCCUGCAGGUGGGAAGCACCAGGCACUGGGGUGAGGGCACUGUGGGGCCAGCUGCGUGCAGGCAGGGGUCUGAUCACCAAGCACCUGUCCCCUG
rnacentral:sRNA from 1 species